rnacentral:misc_RNA from 1 species
CAAGUCUAUGUAGGGGAUCGGAAGUAGCUCGGUCGUAACGAUGACUUUCGCUUCGCAGUCUAGCUCGUACCAUCUCCAUGCUCGUACAUCCGUACACGAUGAUCACGAUAACUUGUUGACGAUUUCGCUCGAGCCCUUACGUUAAGUACGCAGUCUUUUCAAUAUUGACUGGAAUUCACUCUUAAGAUCCUGUUUAUUUUACCUGAUUUGGACAAGAAUGUGCUCGGCUGCAAGGUCUCCUAUGUGUGACGUUUGUGCAGAUUUACAGUCAGAAAAAUCCACUUCAAAUGAUUGGAACACUGAAAAUCAAUCUUAUGAUGAAAAAUUUCAUGUUAGUCUCUGCCAUAUUUUCUGGUAUGCCAAUCUCACUUGCCACACAUACUCGUAUGUCAGUGGUGACCCAAAUGUAGUAUUUGAUGACCUGUGGCCUACAGCUUCAAAGAUUUCAGAACUAUUGGACUGUUUGUGUGAUGGUGAGAGUUCCGACCUUAUGUUGAAAUACUGCAGGUUUGCUGUGCGAUUUGGGCCAGUAAAGCUACUUCAGGCUUUGUUAAAUGACAAGUUGAUUGAUAUAAAUCAUACUUUUGAUGAUGGCAGGAGUCUACUCCACAUUGCUUGUUUGUCAUCAAAUGCCAAGGUGGUUGCAUUUCUCAUUACUCACGGAGCUUCGCUAAAAGCACUUGAUAAUGCAGUUCAGCCCACUGAGAAACUGGGAAUCUGAGAAGAGGUCUGAUCUGCGUGUUCCAGCGGGAGUGAUACAGGCUUGCCUGGCACUG